GUCCGCGCUGUAAACGAUGAACACUAGGUGUUGUGGGUAUUGACCCCUACAGUGCCGACGCUAACGCAUUAAGUGUUCCGCCUGGGGACUACGGCCGCAAGGCUAAAACUCAAAGGAAUUGACGGGGGCCCGCACAAGCGGUGGAGUAUGUGGUUUAAUUCGACGCAACGCGCAGAACCUUACCCGGUCUUGACAUCGAGGGAAAGCUCUAGAAAUAGAGUCCCCCACUUCGGGUGGCCCAAAGACAGGUGCUGCAUGGCUGUCGU
rnacentral:rRNA from 1 species